UACGAAGGGGGCUAGCGUUGCUCGGAAUCACUGGGCGUAAAGCGCACGUAGGCGGAUUGCUAAGUCAGGGGUGAAAUCCUGGAGCUCAACUCCAGAACUGCCUUUGAUACUGGCGGUCUCGAGGUCCGGGAGAGGUGAGUGGAACUGCGAGUGUAGAGGUGAAAUUCGUAGAUAUUCGCAAGAACACCAGUGGCGAAGGCGGCUCACUGGCCCGGUACUGACGCUGAGGUGGCGAAAGCGUGGGGAGCAAACAGG
rnacentral:rRNA from 1 species